rnacentral:rRNA from 1 species
ACUAGGAUUAGAUACCCUAUUAUUAAGAAAAAUUAUAUUGUUAGUAUAUAAAUUGUAUGAAAACAAAAAAUUAUGGCGGUAUUUUAAGCUUUUCAGAGGAAUUUGCUCUUUAAUGGAUAAAACACCUAAAUCUUACUAAAUUUAGUUAAACAGUUUGUAUACCACUAUUUAAGUAAUAAUUUGCUAUUAUUACUAAAAUUUAUAUUAAUUAAAAAAAGUUAAGUCAAGGUGCAGCAUAAAUUUUAGUAUGAAGUGAAUUACAUUUCUUUUAAGAAAAAUUUGUUGAAAAUAAAAUUUAGGAUUUGAAAGUAAAAUUUUAAUAGAAGGAAAAUUUGAAUUAAGCUCUAAAAUAUGUACACAUCGCCCGUCGCUCUCA